rnacentral:lncRNA from 1 species
CUCUUACAAUUGUUUCUUAUCCUUAUAUAGUAAGGAGAAAAACAAAUAAAACCCUAAGACACUCUUCUUGGACCUGACUUAAAUACAUAAGGCACAAACCCAAUCACACACUAAAAUAACACAUAAGUAUUAAAACAUAAGCCCAAAACAUGGCCCAACACUCUAAAACUUAAAAGAUAAAGUAUGGCCAGAAUACAAGCCCAAAUAAAGCUAAAAUAAAACAAGUGUUAAAUAAUA